GUUUUAUACAAUAUACAAUGUAUAUUCACUUUUUCUACCAACUGAUAAAUUAAAACAAUCUUUACCAUUCAGUGAUAACAAGCACUUUAUUUUACAUUUUAAUAUUUUAAGAUGUAUUUAAAUGAGUAGUUAUUGUUGCAAACUCCAUUAGAAAUUUGAAUUGAGAUCAGUUUUGGAAAAAGGGAAAGGGGGAUGUGAAAACAAAUGGGGGUGGGGGUUAAAUUUUUCUUAUUUCAGAUUUCAUAAAUAAAAAGAAAAUUUCUUCAAACAUUUUUUUGAGAGGAUUAAUAUUCAACAGCAUAGUGAAUUGCUCAAAGGCAAAAAAAAUAUUUUAAGUUCAUUAGACCACAUUCAUUCUGUGUCAGAAACCUAUGCUGUGUCAACUAUUUAAUCACAAUCCAAAUUUAGAGCUGAAUCCAGCUUGAAUGUUGUGUCCAUAAUUGCCCCAACCGUUCAGGGUUCAACCUCUGCGGUCGUAUAAAGCUGCGCUCUGCGGAGC
rnacentral:lncRNA from 1 species